rnacentral:rRNA from 1 species
GAUCAUGGCUCAGGAUGAACGCUGGCGGCGUGCCUAAUACAUGCAAGUAGAACGCUGAAGGAGGAGCUUGCUCUUCUGGAUGAGUUGCGAACGGGUGAGUAACGCGUAGGUAACCUGCCUGGUAGCGGGGGAUAACUAUUGGAAACGAUAGCUAAUACCGCAUGACAACAGUUAUUGCAUGAUAGCUGUUUAAAAGGGGCAACUGCUCCACUACCAGAUGGACCUGCGUUG